rnacentral:rRNA from 1 species
UGGGGAAUAUUGGACAAUGGGGGGAACCCUGAUCCAGCCAUGCCGCGUGUGUGAAGAAGGCCUUAUGGUUGUAAAGCACUUUAAGCGAGGAGGAGGGUACUGGUAUUAAUACUACCAGGUACUGGACGUUACUCGCAGAAUAAGCACCGGCUAACUCUGUGCCAGCAGCCGCGGUAAUACAGAGGGUGCGAGCGUUAAUCGGAUUUACUGGGCGUAAAGCGUGCGUAGGCGGCUAAUUGAGUCGGAUGUGAAAUCCCCGAGCUUAACUUGGGAAUUGCAUCCAAAACUGGCGAGCUGGAGUAGGGCAGAGGGUGGUGGAAUUUCCUGUGUAGCGGUGAAAUGCGUAGAUAUAGGAAGGAACGCCAGUGGCGGAGGCGACCACCUGGGCUCAUACUGACACUGAGGUGCGAAAGCGUGGGGAGCAAGCAGG